UUAAGCAUAUCAAUAAGCGGAGGAAAAGAAACCAACAGGGAUUGCCUUAGUAACGGCGAGUGAAGCGGCAAUAGCUCAAAUUUGAAAUCUGGCGCUUGCGUCCGAGUUGUAAUUUGUAGAGGAUGAUUUUAGUUAGGUACCUUUCGAGUUCCUUGGAACAGGACGCCUUAGAGGGUGAGAGCCCCGUACGAUUGGAUGCCGAGCUUCUGUAAAUCUCCUUCGACGAGUCGAGUAGUUUGGGAAUGCUGCUCUAAAUGGGAGGUAAAUUUCUUCUAAAGCUAAAUACCGGCCAGAGACCGAUAGCGCACAAGUAGAGUGAUCGAAAGAUGAAAAGCACUUUGAAAAGAGGGUUAAAUAGCACGUGAAAUUGUUGAAAGGGAAGGAUUUAUGACCAGACUUUUUCUGGGAGAAUCAUCCGGUGUUCUCACCGGUGCACUUCUUUCAGUUUAGGCCAGCAUCGACUUUCAGCGGCGGAUAAAAGCUUUAGGAAUGUGGCUUCCCUCGGGAAGUGUUAUAGCCUACUGUAUAAUACGCUGCUGGGGGUCGAGGUACGCGCUUCUGCAAGGAUGCUGGCGUAAUGGUUAUCAAUCACCCGUCUUGAAACACGGACCAAGGAGUCGAACAUUUGUGCAAGUGUUUGGGUGUUAAACCCCUACGCGUAAUGAAAGUGAACGGAGGUGAGAGCCCCUUACGGGGUGCAUCAUCGACCGAUCCUGAUGUUUUCGGAUGGAUUUGAGUAAGAGCAUAAAUGUUCGGACCCGAAAGAUGGUGAACUAUGCGUGGAUAGGGUGAAGCCAGAGGAAACUCUGGUGGAGGCUCGCAGCGGUUCUGACGUGCAAAUCGAUCGUCA
rnacentral:rRNA from 1 species